GAUGAUUUUCUAUCUCUGUCACAGGCUUGUUCUGAGGAUCAAAUGGGAUGGUGUGUGUGAAACCUCUGGCACAGGACCUAGACACAAGCAUGAAAAAGUAAUACCAGCUACUACUAUUUCAAAGCCUUUGCUGUCCUUGACAUUUCGGGCAAUAACUUGUGUAUAAAUCAACUGUCAGCCAGCAUGAACAUUUGGAAACAGAUUAUUAGUAAUUCCAGAGACGGAAAAACAACAUAUCUUGUGUUCUUUAACUAAGACGCUCCCAAGGGCUCCUGUGCCUUCAGCUCAGGGUGCAGCAUCUCGUCUCAUCAGCGCCAAGGGACCCCGGCCCUGCUUUGCCCACAGCUGCAGAACAGAAGGCCUGCUUUGUUAUCACUGCCAUCCAGGGCAAAAAACGGGCGGACUACAGUAUGAUACCAGAGCAGCGCUAAUCUAAAGGAAGAGGGAGAGAAACCGCUACUGUCACUUUAUUGAGGACGCACUUAGGGAAAUGCAGCAUUCCAGGGGAGAGCAACAGGAGUGUCCCAGGACUCUCCCUACUCCAUGUCCCAAAUGCGGGGACCGAAACAUCUGAGCGCAGCCAGACUCCGACGGGAGGAACAGAGGCUGCGUGAGGACCGCGUGGAGAAGCUGCGCUCGGGGCCCACAGCACCGCGGCCCCAGUGGGAGGGACGCUUAGUCAGCUGAUGCCCAGCAACGCGGCCAGGAGCAGCCUCUGCCCAACAAGCGGAGAAAACAGAUGAACACAGGGCCCCUCAAUCUGCACAGGCUUUCAUAGCCUCCUCUGAAACGUCAGACAUAAAACAUUCAACCACCGUGACGGCGUCCCCGGAGGACUGCACAGAGAGCAGAAAACCACAGACCGUCCGCCCUCCCCUGUCAGGGGCAGCCUCAACCAGCCAGAGAUGCAGGAGAGAUGGGAAACCCUGUCCCCAUAACGGGGGUGGGAGUCCUCCCCUAGAAAGGGCAAGAGUUGUGGGGAAAAUGAAAAUAUCAAGUUACACUAAAUGGAUCCUGGAAUAAAUGUUGUAAUUUUUUUUUUUUUUUUUUUUUUUUAGCAGGGAUUGUGUCUGGUGAGAGGCCCUACCAUAGCAUUCUGUCUGUUUGCUUGUCCUGGAUGAGGCUGGUUAGUCCUAUAAUGGAAGGGAAGUUCAGCCUUGGCUUCCUCGUGACCCACAUAACAGACUUCGGGAGAAAAAAAAAGAUGAUUUAGUUUUCACUAGUUAGCCCACCUCCUCAUUAUUACCUUUACCCUCAGGCAACAGACUUCUGAUAGACUCACUUCUCCAAUCCCAACUAUUCUUGGGGCUUCCGAGGGCUCAGUAUCAUGCAUCUCAUUCCUGAAUGACAUCACCCUUCCUCCAUCCCUCUCUUUAAUUCACAUUUAUAUACCCACCAUGUGUUAGGCAAAGGCAGCAUAUCAGGUGCCAGGGACACAGAGAAGACAAUGGACUUCCAUUCUCUAUAACCCCGCUCAGGUCAGGAUCAGGGAUCCUUGACCUUCCCAGCAGAGUUUAGGAAUUGCUCAUUCCUUGUGCAACCUCUCCAACUAACUUACAUGUCUAAUGUCUAGUGGUGAAAGUAGCACCCUGAAUGAGAAUUUAGUCCUCUUCCUCCCCCACUAAACUGUCAGUACCCUCAGGGCAAGAGCUACAUCUCAUUC